rnacentral:rRNA from 1 species
UACAGGGGGUGCAAACGUUGCUCGGAAUUAUUGGGCGUAAAGCGCGCGUAGGCGGCUACUUAAGUCGGAUGUGAAAGCCCCUGGCUCAACUGGGGAAGUGCACCCGAAACUGAGUGGCUUGAGUACUAAAGAGGGUCGCGGAAUUCCCGGUGUAGAGGUGAAAUUCGUAGAUAUUGGGAGGAACACCAGUGGCGAAGGCGGCUACCUGGACCGGUUCUGACGCUGAGGCGCGAAAGCGUGGGUAGCAAACAGG